AGGACACCUCUGGUAUGGCUUCAGCUCACUACGGGCAGAAUACUACAGACUUCCCCUUAAAAGCCGUUUAACUCUUUUUUGAGGAAUGCCUAUAUGGCUUCAGUUUUCAAGAACUUAUGUUAGAGCCUUUUGUACUUGAAGAGGUGCCAUUCACAACGUGGGCAAAAAUGAUCCACAUCUCUCGUAGCGUUCAUACAGAAGGGAAUAAAGCAGCAUCCAGCCACGAGCCCCAAAAACAUAAUUGCUAUACAUAAAAUCCAGAAGCCAGAAAGAGAGCAGCCCAGUACACAAACAGAACGAGAAGCAAAGUCAGUACAGGCAGCAGUCGAACCUAUAGAGCAGCAUAGUACAAAAUCAGCAGGCAAAAGGCAAGGUCACGAGCAGAG